AUUGAACGCUGGCGGCAGGCCUAACACAUGCAAGUCGAACGGUAACAGGAAGAAGCUUGCUUCUUUGCUGACGAGUGGCGGACGGGUGAGUAAUGUCUGGGAAACUGCCUGAUGGAGGGGGAUAACUACUGGAAACGGUAGCUAAUACCGCAUAACGUCGCAAGACCAAAAAGGGGGACCUUCGGGCCUCUUGCCAUCGGAUGUGCCCAGAUGGGAUUAGCUAGUAGGUGGGGUAACGGCUCGCCUAGGCGACGAUCCCUAGCUGGUCUGAGAGGAUGACCAGCCACACUGGAACUGAGACACGGUCCAGACUCCUACGGGAGGCAGCAGUGGGGAAUAUUGCACAAUGGGCGCAAGCCUGAUGCAGCCAUGCCGCGUGUAUGAAGAAGGCCUUCGGGUUGUAAAGUACUUUCAGCGGGGAGGAAGGGAGUAAAGUUAAUACCUUUGCUCAUUGACGUUACCCGCAGAAGAAGCACCGGCUAACUCCGUG
rnacentral:rRNA from 1 species